rnacentral:rRNA from 1 species
UACGGGGGGAGCAAUCGUUGUUCGGAUUUACUGGGCGUAAAGAGCUCGUAGGCGGUUUGUCGCGUCUGCUGUGAAAACCUAAGGCUCAACCUUGGGCUUGCAGUGGGUACGGGCAGACUAGAGUGCGGUAGGGGUGACUGGAAUUCCUGGUGUAGCGGUGGAAUGCGCAGAUAUCAGGAGGAACACCGAUGGCGAAGGCAGGUCACUGGGCCGCAACUGACGCUGAGGAGCGAAAGCAUGGGGAGCGAACAGG